CCCGAUGAACCUGAAUAUCCAUUAUGGAAAAUUCAUCAUUAAUUUUUUAAUAUUUAAAAUAUUAUAAAAAUAGUGUGCAAUUUUUCCAUAUAAGGACAUUGUAAUCUGUUAAUGUAUUAAAUAUUUAUCAAAAAAUCUUUAACAUUAGUUUAUUCAAAUUAGUUAUUUUUAAUUUCUAACAUAGAAUAAUUGUAUUAGAUUUGAUAAAUCAUUGACAGAUUAUAUUAUAAUAAUGCUUAAAUUUUUCGGAAUUUUACAAUGGUAGAGAAAAUCUUUUGAUAUUCUUUAUUUAUAUUGUAUGCAUUUAUAUGAUUAACAAUGCAAUAGAUUCAGGAUACCUUCGGGACCCGUCUUGAAACACGGACCAAGGAGUCUAACAUAUGUGCAAGUCAUUGGGUAUUUUUAAUAAAACCCAAUGGCAUAAUUAACUUAACUGUUUUUAAUGGGAUUAGUUAUUAUUUUAUUAUGAAAUAUAAAUUCAAUCCCGGGGCGUUCUAUAUAGUUAUGCAUAAUGGUAUUUAUAUUAUUUAUGCCUCUAACUAGAGCGUAC
rnacentral:rRNA from 1 species